rnacentral:tRNA from 1 species
UCCCUGGUGGUCCAGUGGCUAAGACUCAGCACUCCCAAUUCAGGGGGCCCAGGUUCGAUCCCUGGUCAAGGAA